UCGAGGAUCUUCGGCAAUGGGCGCAAGCCUGACCGAGCGACGCCGCGUGCGCGAAGAAGGCCUUCGGGUUGUAAAGCGCUGUCGGGGGGGAGGAAAGCCGGGCAACCGGCCUGACCUAUCCCCGGAGGAAGCACGGGCUAAGUUCGUGCCAGCAGCCGCGGUAAGACGAACCGUGCGAACGUUGUUCGGAUUCACUGGGCUUAAAGGGCGCGUAGGCGGGCGGCCCGGUCCGCGGUGAAAGCCCCCGGCUCAACCGGGGGAGUGCCGCGGAUACCGGCCGCCUCGAGCGGUGCAGGGGCACGCGGAACUUCCGGUGGAGCGGUGAAAUGCGUAGAUAUCGGAAGGAACGCCGGUGGCGAAAGCGGCGUGCUGGGCACCUCCUGACGCUGAGGCGCGAAAGCCAGGGGAGCGAACGG
rnacentral:rRNA from 1 species